CAGCUAAUGUACAGUAAUGUAUUUUGGAUGUUUGGGGCAAAUAAACACAAAUGAUCCCGCGGUCAAACUUGCAGGAGUAAUGCAAGGGGAAAAUUCAUUUUGCGCUUGGUGUGAACACAAUUUAAACUUUUACAGACAUAUGAUUCUUGUAGGUCUCUGAUGAUACCAAUGCUAAAGCCCUGAGACAGACCAGUGAUCAGAUGGUCUGUAAACACGAGGCCCGGAUGAUGAUUUGUCAGAGCGUGGGCAUUGAUUGGAGUGGAUGGAUGAUUUUUUUAGGAGGUUUUGAAACCAACUUCAAUUCCCUUCUGAGAUGGAUCUGGCCGGGAUGGGACUCUUGGGCAGAUUGAUUUUGAUUGUGCAUCACUUCAUGUGCUACAGAUGUAGAGGAAACUGCAAAAGGGAUGACCUCACUCUCGCUCCGGAUCUCAGCCCGUCUCACUGAUAUCUAAAAAUGGAUGAUGGAACGCCGCCUUCAACUCUCUCUAACACUGAACUCUUGGUGAUCCCAGCCGGUCCCUCUAUUCAUUCACAUUUACAUAUUCAUAUCCACAGCAUUAAUGUCCAGUUCAGCUCCUUUAAAUUCAAGAAAGAAGAAGAAGACGCAAGAAAUCUGGGCAUUGUGACUGAUGAACAGCUAACUUUCUCUCAACAUGUUGCAUGUGUCAAGUUGCUUCACACUGUGUAACAUCAGAACGAUGUUAGUUUUGAACAAACCUGAAGACUGGCUGGAUUCUACAAAGACUGGGCAAACCACAAAUAGAGAUUGUUUCCACCAACUUACAUUAACAACUCACAUUUUCUCAAGUGCAUGCAUUACGCUUCUGUAAAUUCUCACUUGUGUUACCAAAACAAACAUGGAUGGCAACCAGUAGUUUGCACUGUUUGUAUGCAGUGCAUAUUGCACUGACAUGGCAAAAAAAAGGAAGAAAAAAGCACAGAACUUGGGAUGAGACCUUGGAUGGAGAGGCAUGGGUAAUGCGGACUGUAGAGCCGACGGAGGGAAUUGGAAGUGAGUGAACUGGAAUCCAGCAUUGCUGUGAAUCCAAGCUGAUUAGAGCUGCCGUCCUCCACAAAAGAGCAAACUACAAACCUUUCAUUUUCACUUGUGUUUGAAUAUUAAGAUUUUCAAUGGAUUAAUCAUUUUCUAAAUAGUUGUGUGAUCACAGAGUUAUAUACAAAUUUUCAAUGUGAGGCUGGUGCAUUGUAGCUCAUUUUUAACUUAAUAGUUCUGCAGGGAGAAUAAUGGCUACUUGGUGAAUACCUGUCUUGCCUUUUAAAGUAGAGGCAGACUUGUCAGGGGGCCGUCAAAAGGAAUUUUGCACAGGUGAAUGUUUGUCACGUCCAUGACUGUGAAAAAGCAAUUUCUAACAUUAAAAGAUUUUGUGCUCGUUCA